rnacentral:rRNA from 1 species
GAUGAACGCUGGCGGCGUGCCUAAUACAUGCAAGUCGAGCGAACAGACAAGGAGCUUGCUCCUUUGACGUUAGCGGCGGACGGGUGAGUAACACGUGGGUAACCUACCUAUAAGACUGGGAUAACUUCGGGAAACCGGAGCUAAUACCGGAUAAUAUUUCGAACCGCAUGGUUCGAUAGUGAAAGAUGGUUUUGCUAUCACUUAUAGAUGGACCCGCGCCGUAUUAGCUAGUUGGUAAGGUAACGGCUUACCAAGGCGACGAUACGUAGCCGACCUGAGAGGGUGAUCGGCCACACUGGAACUGAGACACGGUCCAGACUCCUACGGGAGGCAGCAGUAGGGAAUCUUCCGCAAUGGGCGAAAGCCUGACGGAGCAACGUCGCGUGAGUGAUGAAGGUCUUCGGAUCGUAAAACUCUGUUAUUAGGGAAGAACAUACAUGUAAGUAACUAUGCACGUCUUGACGGUACCUAAUCAGAAAGCCACGGCUAACUACGUGCCAGCAGCCGCGGUAAUACGUAGGUGGCAAGCGUUAUCCGGAAUUAUUGGGCGUAAAGCGCGCGUAGGCGGUUUUUUAAGUCUGAUGUGAAAGCCCACGGCUCAACCGUGGAGGGUCAUUGGAAACUGGAAAACUUGAGUGCAGAAGAGGAAAGUGGAAUUCCAUGUGUAGCGGUGAAAUGCGCAGAGAUAUGGAGGAACACCAGUGGCGAAGGCGACUUUCUGGUCUGUAACUGACGCUGAUGUGCGAAAGCGUGGGGAUCAAACAGGAUUAGAUACCCUGGUAGUCCACGCCGUAAACGAUGAGUGCUAAGUGUUAGGGGGUUUCCGCCCCUUAGUGCUGCAGCUAACGCAUUAAGCACUCCGCCUGGGGAGUACGACCGCAAGGUUGAAACUCAAAGGAAUUGACGGGGACCCGCACAAGCGGUGGAGCAUGUGGUUUAAUUCGAAGCAACGCGAAGAACCUUACCAAAUCUUGACAUCCUUUGACAACUCUAGAGAUAGAGCCUUCCCCUUCGGGGGACAAAGUGACAGGUGGUGCAUGGUUGUCGUCAGCUCGUGUCGUGAGAUGUUGGGUUAAGUCCCGCAACGAGCGCAACCCUUAAGCUUAGUUGCCAUCAUUAAGUUGGGCACUCUAAGUUGACUGCCGGUGACAAACCGGAGGAAGGUGGGGAUGACGUCAAAUCAUCAUGCCCCUUAUGAUUUGGGCUACACACGUGCUACAAUGGACAAUACAAAGGGCAGCGAAACCGCGAGGUCAAGCAAAUCCCAUAAAGUUGUUCUCAGUUCGGAUUGUAGUCUGCAACUCGACUACAUGAAGCUGGAAUCGCUAGUAAUCGUAGAUCAGCAUGCUACGGUGAAUACGUUCCCGGGUCU